UUACAGCCAUAUCACGUUGAAACACCGGUUCCCCUACGUUAAACGAAGUUAAAGUUAAGCAACGUCGUGCCUGGACAGUACCUAGAUGGGGGACCGUUUGGGAAUACCUGGUGCUGUAA